AUGGCCAGGAACAGUAGUGGCGCUCAUGUUGCCGCUGCAAUCUUCGGUCUCAUGGUAGUCGCGUCAAUGGCGAGCCUUGCUUCUGGACAUGACUAUGCCAUGGCGUUGAAGAAGAGCCUCCUCUACUUCGAGGCGCAGAGGUCCGGCGCGCUCCCUCCUGACCAGAGGGUCACCUGGAGAGCCAGCUCCGGCCUCUUUGACGGGAAGGCCAACGGGGUUGAUCUUGUGGGAGGCUACUACGACGCAGGGGACAACGUCAAGUUCGGGCUGCCCAUGGCGUUCACGGUGACCAUGAUGUCCUGGAGCAUCCUCGAGUACGGCAAGCAGAUGGCCGCCUCCGGCGAGCUCAAGAACGCCAUGGACGCCGUCAAGUGGGGCACGGACUACUUCAUCAAGGCGCACCCCGAGCCCGACGUGCUGUACGGCGAGGUUGGCGACGGCGACACGGAUCACACCUGCUGGCAGCGGCCCGAGGACAUGACGACCAGCCGCCAGGCGUUCCGCGUUGAUCCUCAGAAUCCCGGGUCGGACCUGGCCGGAGAGACGGCCGCGGCAAUGGCCGCCGCGUCGAUGGUCUUCCGCACCACUUAUCCGGGCUACGCCAACCUGCUCCUAGAACAUUCUAAGCAGCUGUUCGAAUUCGCCGACAAGUACCGGGGGAAGUACGAUGCCAGCAUCACCGUGGCGCGGAAUUACUACGGGUCAUUCAGCGGAUACGGGGAUGAGCUGCUAUGGGCGGCGGCGUGGCUGUUCGAGGCCACGGAGGAGCCGUUCUACCUCGAGUACCUCGCGCGCAACGGCGACGCCCUGGGCGGCACGGGCUGGUCCAUCAACCAGUUCGGCUGGGACGUCAAGUACCCCGGCGUGCAAGUGCUGGCAGCCAAGUUCCUGCUUCAGGGCAGAGCCGGGGAGCACGCGGAGGCGCUGCAAAGGUACCGGCAGAACGCCGAGUUCUUCGUGUGCUCGUGCGUCGGCAAGGGUGCCGUCAACGUCCCGAGGACCCCCGGCGGCGUCAUGUACCACCAGAGGUGGAACAACCUCCAGUUCGUCACCAGCGCCUCCUUCCUGCUCACCGUGUACGCCGACUACGCCACGGUGACCGGCAGGGGCGCCGUGCGCUGCCCCGCCGGUGCCGCACAGCCCUUCGAGAUCCUCGCGUUCGUCAAGUCUCAGGUGAACUACAUCCUUGGCGACAACCCGAGGGCGACGAGCUACAUGGUCGGGUACGGGCAGAACUACCCGCGGCAGGUGCACCACCGGGGCGCCUCCAUCGUGUCGGUGAGGACGGACCCGUCCUUCGUGAGCUGCCAGGAGGGCUACGCGAGCUGGUACAACAAGCAGGCCGUGAACCCCAACACCCUCGACGGCGCCAUCGUCGGGGGCCCCGACGAGUACGACGACUUCGCCGACGAGAGGAACAACUACGAGCAGACGGAGGCGGCCACCUACAACAGCGCGCCACUGCUCGGCGUCCUCGCCCGCCUCGCCGGCGCCUGUGGCGGGCUGGACGAGUACCAGUCGCUCCCGCAGGUGGCUGCUGCAAACCGCACGUCACGGCCGGCUCAUCGUCGGCAUCCUCACCUUGAGAUCGAGCAGAACGUGACGAGGACCUGGGCGAUCAGGCGCAGGACCUACCACAGGUACUCGGUGACGGUGACCAACAGGUCCCGGAAGACGGUGCGGGGGCUCCACCUGGGCGUCUCGGAGCUCGACGGCCGGCUCUGGGGCCUCGACAAGGCGCGGUACGGGUACGUUGUUCCCCGGAGGUGGCUGCGGGCGCUGCGCCCCGGGAGGAGCGUCAGGUUUGGGUACGUGCAGCCCGGCCCUCCGGCCAACGUGUGGGUCACUGGAUACAAGCUGGUGUGA
rnacentral:rRNA from 1 species